rnacentral:rRNA from 1 species
UACGGAGGGUGCAAGCGUUUUCCGGAUUCACUGGGUUUAAAGGGUGCGUAGGCGGGCAUUUAAGUCAGUGGUGAAAUCUCCAAGCUUAACUUGGAAACUGCCGUUGAUACUAUCUGUCUUGAAUGUUGUGGAGGUGAGCGGAAUAUGUCAUGUAGCGGUGAAAUGCUUAGAGAUGACAUAGAACACCGAUUGCGAAGGCAGCUCACUACACAAAUAUUGACGCUGAGGCACGAAAGCGUGGGGAUCAAACAGG